UACGGGAGGCAGCAGUGGGGAAUAUUGCACAAUGGGCGAAAGCCUGAUGCAGCAACGCCGCGUGAGCGAUGAAGGCCUUCGGGUCGUAAAGCUCUGUCCUCAAGGAAGAUAAUGACGGUACUGAGGAGG
rnacentral:rRNA from 1 species